rnacentral:ncRNA from 20 species
AGAGUUAUAGAAAACCGGUCAGAUUAGAUCUAAUCUAACCGGCAGUUUUAAUAGUGAGGUAAGCUUCACUAUAACAUGUUCACUCUAUAGUACUAUACUCGUGCGUAAUUCAUUUUAAAUUUAUGCACGAGAAUUAGUAAAUUAUUUACUUUCUAAAACAAAGUUUAGUAUUGCCCUUUUAUCACUAGCGUAAAGUCAACUAUU